UCGACGAGUUGAAGAUGAAGCCCAGAGCAGAGUGGUGUUCUCCCAAGUUCUGGCUGGUGUUGGCUGUCCUGGCGGUGUCCGGCAGCAGAGCUCGCUCUCAGAAGAGCCCCCCCAGCAUUGGCAUUGCCGUCAUCCUCGUGGGCACCUCAGACGAAGUGGCCAUCAAGGAUGCCCACGAGAAAGAUGAUUUCCACCAUCUCUCCGUGGUGCCCCGUGUGGAGCUGGUGGCCAUGAACGAGACCGACCCAAAGAGUAUCAUCACCCGCAUCUGUGAUCUCAUGUCUGACCGGAAGGUCCAGGGCGUGGUGUUUGCUGAUGACACGGACCAGGAAGCCAUCGCCCAGAUCCUCGAUUUCAUUUCAGCCCAGACUCUCACCCCGAUCCUGGGCAUCCACGGGGGCUCCUCUAUGAUAAUGGCAGAUAAGGUAAAAGGGGGUGUGGCCAGAAGAGCCCGGGGGGUUGCAUUGAGGACUAAACAUGCAUUUGUUUUCAUGCAAAACGUGGUUAUUGAGGGUGGAAGGUAACCAGAAAGCACUGACUG